CUGCGCAGGGCGGCCGGGGGAGUCACACCCCAGGGGUUUCUGUGGUAAAUGAGCUUCUUGGCAUACGAGGAAAUUAAAGAAUGAUGGCGUCAUUCCAGCGCUCCAAUAGUCAUGACAAAGUAAGGAGAAUAGUUGCAGAGGAGGGUCGUACAGCAAGAAACCUGAUAGCUUGGAGUGUUCCUUUAGAAAGCAAAGAUGA